AGAAGAUGCUCAGCUUCUCUCAAAUCCAAAAGAUGCAAAUUAAAUCAUACUUGAAUGAAGCUGGAAAGGUGCGGAGCUGGGAUGGCGCUGCCUGGGAAGGAAGAGCCGCGGCGGGAUUGGUCUAGGAGGAGGCCUAGGCCCGACCUGCGGUGGUGGGUCUUGCCUCGACGGGGCUGCUUCGCGCCCUCUCCUCUGCUCCAGCUUCGCCCACUUCCCCUUGCCAGCGGGCUAGGCACAGGGGAGACCUGCCGGAGCCACGGAAGAUGAGGUGGCCCGCAGUGCCAAGAAGAUGGACAAGAUGGUGCAGGAGAAGAACACGGCCGGAGCACUGGGUUUGUUAACAGAGCUUCAGAAUGUUCUGGAAUUACUGCGGUCCACAGGAACUGGAAUGUUACUUAAUGUUAGUCUCAAGCAGAGUGCAGAUGAGGAAGUUACAUCUUUAGCAAAGUCUGUCGUCAAAUCCUGGAAAAAGUUGCCAGAUAAGCCAUCAAGUGAGAAAGACCCUAACGAAAAGCAAAUAGAACCUGUAAUGACAUCGCAGAAUAGCAAAAGAAAGUAGCUCCAGCGGCAAUGUAAGCGGCAGAAAGGAUAAGACAAAUGCUUGAGAUAUUUGUUUCAUCUGUUCCUUGGCAAGAAGCGCUUCUGAUUCUGUGCGGAUGAAGUACAGGGAGAUGCUUGCUGCAGCUCUUCGAACAGGAGAUGACUGCAUUGAAAUGGGAGCUGAUGAGGAAGAAUUAGGAUCUCGAAUUGAGGAAGCUAUAGAUCCAGAAAGAGGGAAUACAGGCAUGAAGUACAAAAAUAGAGUCCAAAGUAAGAU
rnacentral:lncRNA from 1 species